rnacentral:rRNA from 1 species
GGCGAACGGGUGAGUAACACGUGGGUGAUCUGCCCUGCACUUCGGGAUAAGCUUGGGAAACUGGGUCUAAUACCGGAUAGGAGCCAUCUUUAGUGUGGUGGUUGGAAAGUUUUUCGGUGUAGGAUGAGCUCGCGGCCUAUCAGCUUGUUGGUGGGGUAAUGGCCUACCAAGGCGGCGACGGGUAGUCGGCCUGAGAGGGUGUACGGCCACAUUGGGACUGAGAUACGGCCCAG